UGUUGAGGAUUGAAUAGCCCCUUAUAGUUCCUUUGGGGAAAUUGAUAGGUUUAGUUUAUAGUUAAUCGCAGUAGGCGUAUUCUUGCAGAGAAAAAUAAGUGAAGUCAAAGAGACGCUAAGAUAAAUUUGUGAAAAUCAUAUAAAAAAGAAUUUGUCGGCGCCAAAGGAUGGCAAAAAUAUUGAGUGAUUAAGAUAGCUGAUUGAAGAAAGGUAAAAAUGGUAGAUAAUAUAUAUAUGUAAUGAACGAAUGUAGCUAAUUAGAAUUAAUUUUAAUAGGAUUUGAGAAAGGACAAACGAUAGGCGUGCAGGGAUAAUUAGCGGCUAGCUAACAAAAUAGGUAAAAAUAAUUUGAAGCACAUUUAGAAAGAAUUUAAUCAGAAGAAUUUGUUCCAGAAUCCCUCACAUACUUUCGCCAUUGGACCUCAUUUGCCUAAUACAACUCAUUUAUUUGCCAUCCUUGCCACCCACCCACACCGUAGAUUAACUUUGGAAAUAAAAUAUAAAUACAGUC